rnacentral:misc_RNA from 1 species
UCCGGUUUAUCACCGGCGGUCUCCUUAGAGUUCCCACCAUUACGUGUUGGCAACUAAGGACAAGGGUUGCGCUCGUUGCGGGACUUAACCCAACACCUCACGGCACGAGCUGACGACAGCCAUGCACCACCUGCACAGAAGUCCCUUGCGGGAGGUUCUGGCUUUCACCAAAAUUUCUUCUGCAUGUCAAACCCAGGUAAGGUUCUUCGCGUUGCCUCGAAUUAAACCACACGCUCCGCUGCUUGUGCGGGCCCCCGCCUAUUCCUUUGAGUUUUAACCUUGCGGCCGUAGUCCCCAGGCGGGGCACUUAAUGCGUUAGCGUCGGCACCGCGGGGGUCAAUACCCACGACACCUAGUGCUCAUCGUUUACAGCGUGGACUAC